rnacentral:rRNA from 1 species
UACGGGAGGCGACAGUGGGGAAUAUUGGACAAUGGGCGCAAGCCUGAUCCAGCAAUGCCGCGUGAGUGAAGAAGGCCUUAGGGUUGUAAAGCUCUUUCGGCGGGGAAGAUGAUGACGGUACCCGCAGAAGAAGCCCCGGCUAACCCCGUGCCAGCAGCCGCGGUAAUA